rnacentral:snoRNA from 1 species
GCAAGGAAACUUUAUAGUAACUUACCUAUGUGUUAAAAUAGUAUCAGAUUCCAUGCCAGAGAAAACUGACUAAACCAUUGCCUGGCCUCUGCCUAUAGACUGCUGGCACUGAAGUGGGAAAAAUA